rnacentral:lncRNA from 1 species
CAACACGCAGCCGCUGAGUUUCAGGUUACCUGGCCGUGCGCAGGUAACCUGUAACAGAGCCCCACCCCCCCACCACCCCCAACACUUUGUGUCACUUUCUUGCUGGUGCCCACACUGCCAAACGAGAGACACCUUAUCUUUUAUUGCGAGGGAUGCUUUAUUGUUUUUGUCACUGAUAGCUCUUCAACUUGAUGCCGUGGAAUAGCUCAUUAAUGGUGCGUAACGCGAGAAUUUAGAACCCCCGGCGAGGAACGGUGUAUCCAAGCAACCAGCCCCGCACAAAGUGGACAGACGUACAUUUACAGCCGUGAGAGGAGGAUUUUAAAGCACUUCACUGGAUUUCUUUUUUUUGAGAGAAGGGGGUUAUUUUCUUGCUUGGACAUAUAUAUAGGCUACUGCAUUUUUCUUCUGAAGUGAGGUUCACCACCUGUGGUUUGUCAGCAGGAAUGACUUCUUCCGUGGCUCUGAGAGAAUUCAGAACUGGCCCUUUGUAUUUCUUUGACCAGCCAACAGGACGGAGCCAAAUCAAAGGGACAAGAAGCAACAUUUUGCUGUUUGCUAUGUCACAAGAAGAAACACAACCGGAAGACUCACUAAGUAAUCCAGAGAAUGAAGAAGAAGAAGGUAAAAGAGAUGAGCUCACUGACGGACUCUCUAAUGAAACAUGUGAGGAUAAUAAACCUGAUACAUCGUCCGCUCUCGGGGCCGCACUCAACAUAAAGGAACACGAUCCAACGGACGAGUACAAGCGAGCAGCCCCUCACUUACUAAAUGAACUGGCUGCGCUACUGUCCCAACACAGGUGGACUGAGAAGGGCUGUGUUCCUCACGGGAUUGUAAAUGUUCUGAACUAUUCCUGGCAGGAUCUGACAGCUGGAGCGGUUUGGAAAAGUCCAGACCAGACUGAAAACCAAGAAAAGUCCAAAGGCUCCUUGAGGUUGGACGAAACUAACCGGCCGGUGUCUGCCAGUGACAAGAAGGAAACGAGAAGGAGAAAUUCAUGUGUUGCUGGAAACGUGGGUCUCUCUGAGAGAAAACCACAAUCUAGCUCAAAUCCACGCGUGAAAAAACGCAAACAAAACCCCCCAAAAGCUCAUAACUCCAUAAUGACCAGUUUCUCCAUCUCAUCCAACAGCUGUAAUGAUCCAGGUUGGAUCAUCCAGACCCAGCCACCCUCCUACAAUGAGCCUCAGCAGAUCAAUUUGUGUCAGUGGGUGGUGAAGCGACUGCAGGUGGCAAGAACUCCUGAAAAACUGCAAGCAGCUGGACAGACCCAGAGCAAGACCCUCAUUCUCCGUCACUAUGGAGAUGCAAAGGCAAAACCGAAGGACAGGAGAGCACAGAGAAAGGCCAAUCCUACUACUUUAGUUAAUGGGAUUCCCCAGAUACCAGAAGUGAAGCAGCAGGAUCCAGCACAGCAGAAACUACACUACAGGAUCAACGAUGGCUCCUCAUUCAUAUAG